ensembl:lncRNA
CAAAGACCCAAUCUGCAGAGAGCGCGAGAGAGAGAGAGAGAAAGAGAGAAACAGACUCCUCUCUGAGCGCCUCACUGGCUUCAGAUCAGCUGAUAAGAGGACUCGGGGAGAGACAGAAGACCACUGCCUGUGAGAAGAUCUCACAUUACCUUGGAUCCAUAAAGAAAAAGGUCUAAAACAAGCUAAGAACUUGUCUGGCCUUGUUUCCUCUGGCAGAGGACUCGGGGAGAGACAGAAGACCACUGCCUGUGAGAAGAUCUCACAUUACCUUGGAUCCAUAAAGAAAAAGGUCUAAAACAAAUAAAGGAUAUCUCAUAAAAUCCACAGUGAAACAAGCAGGAGGACCAUGUGAAGAAGGUAUUAUCGUGCAACCCUUUCCCAGAUCAGGACCCGUAUGGGACCCAUCGUCCCUCCAUGAAGCCACAAGAGCUCCAAACCGCAACAGAAAGGUCCAAUAAGAGGCCGGAGAAAAGGGGAUUGUUUUGAUUAAAAGACAAUUAUCUGUGCGCAUGGACUUCCCAGUGUUGUGCGGUGUCAGGCUCCAGCUGAGCUGCUCCGUCCCAGAAGGCCUCGGGAGACAAUGGCCACUGUGUCCACAGGGUGGGGGGGUUGUUUCAUGACUCGGUCACAGCACCAUGCAACUGUGUGAAUACUGUUAAUGCCACGUAUGGGCUUAGUAGUGGGACGGUUACCCCGAAGUUGAUGUUCAAUCACCUGAAAACGACUAAACAACAAUGGGGUGAAGGCGUAAAUCGGCCUUUAAAUUAGUCUCCAGGUGGAACUCAUCAAGUUCAAAUAAUUCGCUGGGCUUUAUCCUGGAGCCCAGCAAAUGUAGUUAUUAGUUAGUAUUAGUCGAGACCGGGACGUGAACAGUAAUGCAGCGCAGUUAUUGUAAUUAUGUGUUUUCAACCAUUCAGUUCGUCAUGUAACUUUUAUGAAGCAUUUCGGGGUAGAGAGCUGAAAUGCUAUAAAGGUGCCUGCAACUGGCCUAUAUUGUGAGAUAUCAGUAGGCGUACAUCAAAGAAUUAUUUUAGUGAUCAGAAAACAGACAUUUUGACAAAAUGCUAGCUGCGCGAGCUAACAACGUUAUGAUGUAUUAUAACAAUGUAAUAGUGAGUGCCGGCUCUCCUCUUUUUCCUGCUGAUGCCUCACGUUUUAUUGCCUGUUUCCUCUGAUUAGGAGCUUAUUGAAACAUGGUUAUAGAUUCUUCACGGCAUCCCGUCCCUCGGCAGCUUUUAGCUAGCAGAAUGGCUAGCAGCCAUUGGUCGACUAUCGUUUUUUACAUCAUGUUAGUUAUUUUUCUUGUCAAACUUAUUAAUGCUAUGUAAUGCGUUUUGGAUUUUUAAAUCAAGCUACAGUAGUAAUUGCAGUUUGAGGUUUUAAAAAUCAAAACAAAUUAACUUUCUGUGAGUUGAUUUUUUCCUUUGAGUGAAAUCGUUGGAAACCUUUUGCUGCCCAGAAGGUGGGAAGGCACUCGAUUUAUCUUGAACCGUUACGUCGCGCUCAAUGUGAUGGUUCUUCAGAUUCUCUCGACUCUUAAGUUUCUUUAGGAGUAACAGAUUAGACUCAAAGGCGUCCUCAAUGCUUCCCCUCAUAAUGGCGCCCGUCAUCAGCCUCUCUAAAACUCACUUCCUGUCUUUUGUUACAAAAACCUCGAAACAAAAAAGUGUCCAUAUGUCUGAAAUGACCAAAUAUGCUCAGUUCCAUCCAGCGUCCAGCGACUGUCCGUGUGGGAUAGAAAGGCCUCAGAGCUCAAAGCCUCUCCCUUAUCUGCUGGGGCGGGCGUAACAGUGUGGCCCUUUGUGGCCCCCCCGUGUAUUUAUGAAUGGCCGAGCCUUAGGGCGAAGCCUCAGAACAAUGCCGCUACACUGAAGGACUGGUUUUCCUACGGGGGGGUGGUGAUGAUGGUGAUGGUGAUGAUGAUGAUGAUGGAGGAGGAGGUGUUGGUGGCGGGUUGACUCCCCACCGUUGGGGCUUGGUACAGAGAGUGGCGAGAGGUCUGGCUGGCGAGGGGGCUUUGCGCGUGAGACUCAGAGGGAAGGCUGCUGGAGCUACUGGAGGUCGUAGGUCGCCCACGCUCACCUACACAGAGAGGAGGCCUGUGGCUCACCAUCUGCCCGCCGGGGCCGGGAAUGCCAGGUGAAAAAAGGCAUUCUGAUACGAGCGGCCAAACCAACAGAGAAUUAAAGGGAAAGCAAACAAAUAAAUGUAGACUCAGAGCCACAUGCACGGGCCAAUAAAUACCAAGAAAGGUAAUCUUCCAGGUGGUUUAUGACACCUGCUCCCUCGUUUCAAUAAGUUAACAACCACCUACUUUGUGGGCAUAGAAAAUAUAAAUACUUAACGCAUCGAGCACUUCAAAGCAUCUACUGUAAGAGGCAACGGUUUUAUUGCAUCUGAUGAGCUGAAGUGUGGAUCUUUUCCUCCUGCCGGCGCCCUGCGCGGUGCCUUCGGCAACAGACCGUGUGACUGAACGUUGGCACGUCUCCGUGGUUGUGUUUGAAGCGAGUGUGCGCUGUUCUCAGGGCGGUGUGUGUGGGAGGGGGAGCGGUCAUGUUUUAAGACCAUCUGCUCCUCUGAGUAUUUUAGUGUGUGUGUGUGGGGGGGGGGCCUUAGCUUGCGUUGGACCAACGCGCGUCACGGGCAAACAGCAGAACGCAAGCUGUGAGCGGGCCUGUUCCGGAGAAAAAAAUUCCUCCACUUUCACACAAUGGGCAGUGUUCUGCAUACAAGGUUCCCAUUCUCCCCCACCACACCCGCCCCGUGUCCAAGAGCCCGAGCAAAACUCCUGUACACGGGCCACGGACGACAUUCACAAUGAAAAUGUUCUUCUUGGCACAGGCGAUUGUUUGUGCGAGCCCUUUGGUUGGCGUGAGACAUCUCAAUAAUGGAAGAUGACUCAUAAAAGGUGUCGUGGCCUGAUUGAGCGGAGCCGAUUUUUCUCCCCGCAUCGCGUUGCUCUUUAGACAUUGGAAAAAGGCAGAAAAUGUUGACCACAUGGCUUCUUUCUCAUUGACGGAGACAAACGUGACAUAAGUGUGUUCGUCUGGACCCUCACUCGGCCGCACGCUUCAUGUGCACACAAUGCCUACGGUCCCAGAAGGACAAUAGAGCAGGCUGAGCUUCCACUCAGCGGAGGAAGGUCACAUAUCUGCACACCCCACGCUGCGUAGUGUGUUUGCUCGCCUCGCGCUGCGUGUGUGUGUGUGUCUGUGUGUGUGUGCGUGGGCGGUGUGGCACGCUGCGUAUUCGUUUGAUCGAGGCUCCCGAGCGUCGCGGCAGCGCUCUCCCCGUCAGCUCUUGUUGACGGCGGGAUUCCCUCGAGGUCAUCGGCCGCUCGGGCCAUGCCGUCAUCUGGCCGCAGGCCUGGAGGGCUUUGGGCCGCAGUGACUCACCCUAACAUGAGAGUGGCAAAGAAAAGUUGCCUUUGUCACUUUUGUCAUGUAAACUAGGUGGACAUCGGAGUGAAUCCACGCUUGUGCGUCCCUGCCCACAGAAAUUCCUCCGCAGGGGAAAUAUUAAUACGGCUUGAAAGAUCAAUGAUGCCCUGAAGCUUUCUCUAGAAUUCAAAUGGUCUUGCGUUGGAUGUGUGUGAUUGAGGCUCUUUAAGACGCUGAUGUCUGACAAACCCUAAUCAAAGUAGUGUAGAUCUGUAAUCCACAUAACCACGUUGCAGCAUUUCAACAACAUUGACAUUAGACAUCAAAGCGUUGAUCUCAGAGGGACGGAUGAGGGAGACGGUGGAACCAAGGCGAGGAAUGCAGAGUGGGCCAAAGUUCGGCUCCAGAAAUGCCCGAACGCAUAUUCAUAGCCGCCCACGACAACCCCCCCCCCCCCCACCCCCUCUUUCCCCAUCUGACGUGGAGGAUUCGGAGCAAAGACGAGCGACUCAGGAGAACAGACACAGCGGGGCGGAUGGGGGGGGGCAAGAAGUUGAGCAGGAGCCUUGUGCUGAGGCGAGUGGUUUGUGUGCGCACGUAUGCUGUGUGCUCAGUGCCAGCCGUUUGCCCAUCCCAUCAAUGAGGCCGUUGUUGUUGUGGUUGGGGGGGAGCGGCGGCCUGGCGGCUCGGCCACUCCGCUUCCGGUGACACUCGCCUGUCUCUUGGCCUUUUGUUGCCGUGCGGGUGGUGGAGCCACAUUGGAGUUACGGCGGAACAGUUGCGUCACUCUAGUGAGACGUCUCAAAGUGGUGAUGAUCAAUUAUUUAUUUCACGUGGUAAGAUUUGAACGUAGAGAGUCAGUCAUCUGCUUAAUAAAGCCAUCAGUAGAUGGUGGAGACCAAAACAGAGCUAAAAUAAGGGGUCAAAAAGCUUACAAAUGGAUUAUGUUACUUUGGAAAUUCUGCUAACGAUUUCACUGCAUCAACUUAGAAAUUAAUGCUAAAUAUUCUUCUUAAAAACUAAAAGAAGAGUGGCAAUUUUCCAAGGAAAAUUCCAGUGAAAACAUUCUGUGCAUUUGUGACUGGAUGGUGGACGGUGAGCAGCAGGACAAAUCCAACAUAAAAUAACAGCGUUUUUCACUCCCCUCCAACCGACGAGGCUAAUAUUGGCUCUGGAUUCUCCGGGGGAAGUUGGGGUGUGUUAAUCGAGAAGCUCUCGUACACAAUCCACUUCGACCCGCCAUCUGCACACCCCGGCUGCCGCAGCAAGAGGCGGAAUUAUCGGCUUCUACUUCUGCAUCUAGUUGUUCCACACUCAACAGUCCUCCUGGUAAAUACAUUUAUUGACAGAGCAUUUAAAGAAUCAUUUCUGUUGGAGAGAGUGAUGACGUGAAUAGAGUAUUUUCAUCAAGUGAGAAUACUCAUGAGUCAGAGGGACCACAUUGUUUAUUUUAUAAUAGGUAGUUUAAACGUGGCAUCAUGUUGGUUUUCCAUUUGAUUGGAACUCAAUAAGCAUUGAUAUGUUUUAGGGCUCAUUGGGUUCAAUAAUUCGUCCUUGAAUCCCACCGUUCGCUAUGUGAUCAAAGUCAUUGUACUGUAAUAAAGUACAUGUUGUUAGUGUUUGUGGUCUUCAUGUUCUUAAAUUAGCCAAUCAAGAUAGAAAUUAGACACAGAAGUAAAAAGAAACCAAAAAGAAACAAGGGCAAAAAAGCUGAACCCAGAACUAUUAUGUGCAUACAAGUGGUAAAGUGCAUAAACAAAUGAAUAUAAAAAGUCUAGAAGUAAAGAACGUCCUCUUUACUGGCCUGAACCAACUAUCUGUUGCUGGAAUCCAGGCAGUACAGAACUCCGCUGCCACUGAUACCCGGCAUGUUUCAGAAUAGAUUAACAUACAUUUUAAAUUUCUCCCCAAGCCAUUAAAAAACCUCUGCAUGCUGCACAUACUUUGAAAUCCGCUAGAGGAGAUCUUUUGUCGGGUCCAGAGGCCCGAGAGCAACUACAGGGCCGUGGAGCUCUGGAGUUCGGGUGGACAGUCUCUCUUAAAUAUUAUUUUCCAUUCGUGCUUAUGUACUACGCUGUGCCUUUAAGUUCCAAUAUCUUCUCUUCUAUCUCAUGUUUCUCCUCAUGUAAUAUGGAAAAAAUAUUCAUUGAUUGUCUGUUUGCUAAGCUGAUGAUUUAUGAAUGUGUUAUUUUGCUGCCUUUUGUGAAGCACUUACAAAUCUUAAAAAGUGCUCUAUAAAUAAAGUUCAUUAUUAUUAUUAUCAUAAUUUUCCCUAAAUGAUUUAUGUGCUUCUGCCGGGGAAAAUUUUAGAUAAAUACAGUGCAAAAAAAAAUGUCACCCCCUCGACACCCCCGUAGUCAGUCCUGGUGAUCCAUGACAGCUGGGUUGGCACAGUGUGUGUCAUUCAUCGGGCUGACGUGUGCCGGCCGGGAGGAGUGACUCCAUCGAGGGGGGGCGAGGCAGGUGUCACUUACCACAGCUCCG